rnacentral:rRNA from 1 species
GUCUUUUUGAUCAUAAUUUAAAGUCUAACCUGCCCACUGAGUUAUUGAAUGGCCGCGGUAUUUUGACCGUGCAAAGGUAGCAUAAUCAUUAGUUUUUUAAUUGGAAGCUGGUAUGAAUGGUUGAAUAAGAAAAAAACUGUCUCAAUUUAAUUUUUAGAAUUUUAUUUUUAAGUUAAAAAGCUUAAAUUUCUUUAAAAGACGAGAAGACCCUAUAGAGUUUAAUAAGUUUAUAAGUUAUUUUUUUUUAGUAUUAAUAGAUUUAAUUUAUUAUAUUUAUUUGAUUGGGGUGAUUGAAAAAUUGAAUAAACUUUUUUUAUAUUUUUACAUAAAUUAAUGAAUAAAUGAUCCAUUUUAUGAUUAAAAGAAUAAAUUACCUUAGGGAUAACAGCGUAAUUUUCUUUUAGAGUUCUAAUCGAAAGGAAAGAUUGCGACCUCGAUGUUGGAUUAAAGUUAAUUUUUGGUGUAGAAGCUAUAAUAUUAGGUCUGUUCGACCUUUAAAACUUUACA